GGGCGUAUGGUCUAGAGGUUGAUACCUGCUUUGGGUUCAAUGGGCGCAGCAGGCGUAUUUGAUUAUCCACCAGGGGGUCUUUGGUUCGAAUCCAAAUUCGCCCU